GACGAACGCUGGCGGCGUGGAUUAGGCAUGCAAGUCGAACGGUAUCAUCCUUUCGGGGGUGAGAGAGUGGCGAACUGGUGAGUAACACGUAGGUUAUCUACCCUCAAGACGGGGACAACCCAGGGAAACUUGGGCUAAUACCGGAUGUGAGCAACUUUUAGUUGUUUGAAAGGUGGCGUAAGCUGUCGCUUGGGGAUGAGCCUGCGUCCUAUUAGUUAGUUGGUGAGGUAACGGCUCACCUAGGCAAUGAUAGGUAGGCGGCCUUAACGGGUGGUCGCCCACACUGGGAUUGAGAUACGGCCCAGACUCCUACGGGAGGCAGCAGUCGAGAAUAGUCUACAAUGGUCGGAAGACUGAUAGUGCGACGCCGCGUGAACGAUGAAUCCCUUCGGGGUGUAAAGUUCUUUUAUAUGUGAGCAGUGCUUCUUAUAUUAAACAGUAUGGGGAGAGAGAUAUUAGCAUAUGAAUAAGCAACGGCUAACUCCGUGCCAGCAGCCGCGGUAAACACUAA
rnacentral:rRNA from 1 species